AUGGCCGCCAUCUUCUCCUCCCCAGUGACCUCCGGCGCUCCCACCGUCUACCCGUUGGUGCCCUGUGGCACCAGCUGUGAGGAGGACCAGGUGACCAUCGGUUGUUGGGUCGACGACUACUUCCCGUCGCCCGUCACCGUCACGUGGGUCACCGGAGCUUCUGGAGUCACCAACGAGACUUCUCCGGAAUUCUGGAAAUCCGACGGUUUCUACAGCCUCACCUCCCAGCUCACCGUUCCAGCCGGAAGCUUGAGGAGCAACUCGUUCCGUUGUCAGGUGGUCCACAGCUCCACCGGCACCAUCAGCGAGGUCAUCAAUGGUAGUGACGUCUGUCCAGAUGAUUUCCCCCCCGUGGUGACACUCCUGGUGGACCCCAGCCAGGACCACCCCGAGGAGGUCCACCUGGUGUGCCUGGUGGAGGGCACAUCUGCCAGCGAAGCCCAGGUGGAGUGGUUGGUGGACCAAAAGGUGGUGGACCUCAGCCAGGAGGACUCCAGUUGCUCCCAGUGCUCCCUCGACCAGACCACCUUCACCAGUAAGGUCAACGUCAGCCGGCAGAGCUGGGACAAGGGCAGCGAGAUCUCCUGCAGCGUCAGCCACCCGUCGCUCAAGGAACCCUUGGUGUCCACCAUCAGCACCUUCUGCUUGGCUCCUCCGGCCUCCGUGGAGGUCACCAUCCUCCCCCCAUCCCUGGAGGACCUCUACCUCACCCAAAACGCCACCGUCACCUGCUUGGCCACCAACCUGCAGACCACCGAGGAGGUGAAGUUCUCCUGGAGCCGGGACACUGGGAGCUCCUUGGAUGUCACCUCGGGGGUGGCUGAGAAGCUGGAGAACGGGCUCUACAGUCUCACCAGUGUCCUCAAGAUCUGCGCCGACGAGUGGACCUCCGGUGAGAAGUUCACCUGCACCGUCACCGUCCCGGAGCUCGACCAGCCAAUCACCAAGUCCCUCAAGAAAGACACAG